AUUGAACGCUGGCGGCAUGCUUUACACAUGCAAGUCGAACGGCAGCACGGGCUUCGGCCUGGUGGCGAGUGGCGAACGGGUGAGUAAUAUAUCGGAACGUACCCAGAAGUGGGGGAUAACGUAGCGAAAGAUACGCUAAUACCGCAUACGAUCUAUGGAUGAAAGCAGGGGACCGCAAGGCCUUGUGCUCCUGGAGCGGCCGAUAUCUGAUUAGCUAGUUGGUGAGGUAAAGGCUCACCAAGGCGACGAUCAGUAGCUGGUCUGAGAGGACGACCAGCCACACUGGAACUGAGACACGGUCCAGACUCCUACGGGAGGCAGCAGUGGGGAAUUUUGGACAAUGGGCGCAAGCCUGAUCCAGCAAUGCCGCGUGAGUGAAGAAGGCCUUCGGGUUGUAAAGCUCUUUUGUCAGGGAAGAAACGGUAGAGGCUAAUAUCCUUUGCUAAUGACGGUACCUGAAGAAUAAGCACCGGCUAACUACGUG
rnacentral:rRNA from 1 species